rnacentral:tRNA from 1 species
CCCUGCAUAGCUCAGAGGUUAAAGCGGCUGCCUGCAAUGCGGGAGACCCGGGUUCGAUCCCUGGGUCGGGA